rnacentral:tRNA from 1 species
UGGACUCUCAAUAUCCUUUAAA